rnacentral:rRNA from 1 species
CGGUUCCGCAAGUCUUCCGUUAAAUCCACCUGCUCAACAGAUGGGCCGCGGAGGAUACCGCGGAGCUAGGAGGCGGGAGAGGCAAACGGUACUCAGUGGGUAGGGGUAAAAUCCAUUGAUCCACUGAAGACCACCAGUGGCGAAGGCGGUUUGCCAGAACGCGCUCGACGGUGAGGGAUGAAAGCUGGGGGAGCAAACCGGAUUAGAUACCCGGGUAGUCCCAGCUGUAAACGAUGCAGACUCGGUGAUGGGCUGGCCUUGUGCCAGCCCAGUGCCGCAGGGAAGCCGUUAAGUCUGCCGCCUGGGGA